rnacentral:tRNA from 1 species
UUGCCGCCGGGUUCCGGGGCCUUCUGGCGCUGGCGGCGCCGGCGGGUCUUGCCCGGACCUUGCGUUCCGCGCCGCUGACGGCAAGC